rnacentral:rRNA from 1 species
CACGAGAGGUGCAAGCGUUGUUCGGAAUUAUUGGGCGUAAAGAGCACGUAGGCGGACUCGUAUGUCAAUUGUGAAAUACCCAGGCUUAACUUGGGAAUUGCAGUUGAAACUGCGAGUCUUGAAUACCUGAGAGGGUGGGAGAAUUCCUGGUGGAGAAGUGAAAUUCGUAGAGAUCAGGAGGAAUACCGGAGGCGAAGGCGCCUGCCUGGCAGUGUAUUGACGCUCAGGUGCGAAAGCGUGGGGAGCAAACAGG